AACGAACGCUGGCGGCAUGCCUAACACAUGCAAGUCGAACGAGACCUUCGGGUCUAGUGGCGCACGGGUGCGUAACGCGUGGGAACCUGCCCUUAGGUUCGGAAUAACUCCCCGAAAGGGGUGCUAAUACCGGAUAAUGUCUUCGGACCAAAGAUUUAUCGCCUUUGGAUGGGCCCGCGUUGGAUUAGCUAGUUGGUAGGGUAAAAGCCUACCAAGGCGACGAUCCAUAGCUGGUCUGAGAGGAUGAUCAGCCACACUGGGACUGAGACACGGCCCAGACUCCUACGGGAGGCAGCAGUGGGGAAUAUUGGACAGUGGGCGAAAGUCUGAUCCAGCAAUGCCGCGUGAGUGAUGAAGGCCUUAGGGUUGUAAAGCUCUUUUACCCGGGAUGAUAAUGACAGUACCGGGAGAAUAAGCUCCGGCUAACUCCGUG
rnacentral:rRNA from 1 species